GACGAACGCUGGCGGCGUGCUUAACACAUGCAAGUCGAACGGAAAGGCCCUGCUUUUGUGGGGUGCUCGAGUGGCGAACGGGUGAGUAACACGUGAGUAACCUGCCCUUGACUUUGGGAUAACUUCAGGAAACUGGGGCUAAUACCGGAUAGGAGCUCCUGCUGCAUGGUGGGGGUUGGAAAGUUUCGGCGGUUGGGGAUGGACUCGCGGCUUAUCAGCUUGUUGGUGGGGUAGUGGCUUACCAAGGCUUUGACGGGUAGCCGGCCUGAGAGGGUGACCGGCCACAUUGGGCCUGCGAUACGGCCCAGAAUCCUACGGGAGGCAGCAGUGGGGAAUAUUGCACAAUGGGCGGAAGCCUGAUGCAGCAACGCCGCGUGCGGGAUGACGGCCUUCGGGUUGUAAACCGCUUUCGCCUGUGACGAAGCGUGAGUGACGGUAAUGGGUAAAGAAGCACCGGCUAACUACGUG
rnacentral:rRNA from 1 species